rnacentral:rRNA from 1 species
AUUGAACGCUGGCGGCAGGCUUAACACAUGCAAGUCGAGCGGAGCGGCGGACGGGUGAGUAAUGCUUAGGAAUCUGCCUAUUAGUGGGGGAUAACGUCCGGAAACGGGCGCUAAUACCGCAUACUAUCAGAUGAGCCUAGGUCGGAUUAGCUAGUUGGUGGGGUAAAGGCCUACCAAGGCGACGAUCCGUAACUGGUCUGAGAGGAUGAUCAGUCACACUGGAACUGAGACACGGUCCAGACUCCUACGGGAGGCAGCAGUGGGGAAUAUUGCACAAUGGGCGAAAGCCUGAUGCAGCCAUGCCGCGUGUGUGAAGAAGGCCUUCGGGUUGUAAAGCACUUUCAGCGGGGAGGCGUUACCCGCAGAAGAAGCACCGGCUAACUCCGUGCCAGCCGCCGCGGUAAUUC